AUUGAACGCUGGCGGCAGGCCUAACACAUGCAAGUCGAGCGAGCCGCGGACGGGUGUGUAAUGUCUGGAAAUUGCCCAGUCGAGGGGGAUAACCGUUGGAAAGGACUGCUAAUCCCCCAUACGAUUUGCUUCCCUAGGUGGGAUUAGCUAGUUGGUGGGGUAAUGGCUCCCCAAGGCGACGAUCCCUAGCUGGUCUGAGAGGAUGACCAGCCAAACGGGAACGGAGACACGGUCCAGACGCCUACGGGAGGCAGCAGUGGGGAAUAUUGGACAAUGGGGGAAACCCUGAUGCAGCCAUGCCGCGUGGGUGAAGAAGGCCUUCGGGUUGGAAAGUACUGUCAGCGGGGAGGCGUUACCCGCAGAAGAAGCACCGGCUAACUCCGUGCCAGCAGCCGCGGUAAUUC
rnacentral:rRNA from 1 species